rnacentral:rRNA from 1 species
UACGUAGGGUGCGAGCGUUAAUCGGAAUUACUGGGCGUAAAGCGUGCGCAGGCGGUCCGUUGUGUCCGAUGUGAAAGCCCCGGGCUUAACCUGGGAAUGGCAUGGGAAACUGGCGGGCUGGAGUGUGGCAGAGGGGGGUGGAAUUCCGCGUGUAGCAGUGAAAUGCGUAGAGAUGCGGAGGAACACCGAUGGCGAAGGCAGCCCCCUGGGCCAACACUGACGCUCAGGCACGAAAGCGUGGGGAGCAAAC